rnacentral:rRNA from 1 species
UGGCGGGACGGGGUGGAGUAAUGUCUGGGAAACUGCCUGAUGGAGGGGGAUAACUACUGGAAACGGUAGCUAAUACCGCAUAACGUCGCAAGACCAAAGAGGGGGACCUUCGGGCCUCUUGCCAUCGGAUGUGCCCAGAUGGGAUUAGCUAGUAGGUGGGGUAACGGCUCACCUAGGCGACGAUCCCUAGCUGGUCUGAGAGGAUGACCAGCCACACUGGAACUGAGACACGGUCCAG